rnacentral:miRNA from 1 species
AUAUCAGUUAGAAACUAAAGAAA